GACGAACGCUGGCGGCGUGCUUAACACAUGCAAGUCGAACGGAAAGGCCCUGCUUUUGUGGGGUGCUCGAGUGGCGAACGGGUGAGUAACACGUGAGUAACCUGCCCUUGACUUUGGGAUAACUUCAGGAAACUGGGGCUAAUACCGGAUAGGAGCUCCUGCUGCAUGGUGGGGGUUGGAAAGUUUCGGCGGUUGGGGAUGGACUCGCGGCUUAUCAGCUUGUUGGUGGGGUAGUGGCUUACCAAGGCUUUGACGGGUAGCCGGCCUGAGAGGGUGACCGGCCACAUUGGGACUGAGAUACGGCCCAGACUCCUACGGGAGGCAGCAGUGGGGAAUAUUGCACAAUGGGCGGAAGCCUGAUGCAGCAACGCCGCGUGCGGGAUGACGGCCUUCGGGUUGUAAACCGCUUUCGCCUGUGACGAAGCGUGAGUGACGGUAAUGGGUAAAGAAGCACCGGCUAACUACGUGCCAGCAGCCGCGGUGAUACGUAGGGUGCGAGCGUUGUCCGGAUUUAUUGGGCGUAAAGGGCUCGUAGGUGGUUGAUCGCGUCGGAAGUGUAAUCUUGGGGCUUAACCCUGAGCGUGCUUUCGAUACGGGUUGACUUGAGGAAGGUAGGGGAGAAUGGAAUUCCUGGUGGAGCGGUGGAAUGCGCAGAUAUCAGGAGGAACACCAGUGGCGAAGGCGGUUCUCUGGGCCUUUCCUGACGCUGAGGAGCGAAAGCGUGGGGAGCGAACAGGCUUAGAUACCCUGGUAGUCCACGCUGUAAACGGUGGGUACUAGGUGUGGGGUCCGUUCCACGGGUUCCGUGCCGUAGCUAACGCUUUAAGUACCCCGCCUGGGGAGUACGGCCGCAAGGCUAAAACUCAAAGGAAUUGACGGGGCCCCGCACAAGCGGCGGAGCACGCGGAUUAAUUCGAUGCAACGCGUAGAACCUUACCUGGGUUUGACAUGGAUCGGGAGUGCUCAGAGAUGGGUGUGCCUCUUUUGGGGUCGGUUCACAGGUGGUGCAUGGCUGUCGUCAGCUCGUGUCGUGAGAUGUUGGGUUAAGUCCCGCAACGAGCGCAACCCUUGUUCACUGUUGCCAGCACGUUAUGGUGGGGACUCAGUGGAGACCGCCGGGGUCAACUCGGAGGAAGGUGGGGAUGACGUCAAGUCAUCAUGCCCCUUAUGUCCAGGGCUUCACGCAUGCUACAAUGGCUGGUACAGAGAGUGGCGAGCCUGUGAGGGUGAGCGAAUCUCGGAAAGCCGGUCUCAGUUCGGAUUGGGGUCUGCAACUCGACCUCAUGAAGUCGGAGUCGCUAGUAAUCGCAGAUCAGCAACGCUGCGGUGAAUACGUUCCCGGG
rnacentral:rRNA from 1 species